rnacentral:tRNA from 2 species
GGCCAGGUGGCGAAAUAGGCAGACGCACGGGACUUAAAAUCCCGGGCCCCUAAAGGGGCGUACGGGUUCGAUUCCCGUCCUGGCUA